rnacentral:rRNA from 1 species
GACGAACGCUGGCGGCGUGCUUAACACAUGCCAGUCGAACGGAAAGGCCCCUUUGGGGGUACUCGAGUGGCGAACGGGUGAGUAACACGUGAGUAACCUGCCCUUGACUUCGGGAUAACUUCAGGAAACUGGGGCUAAUACCGGAUAGGAAUCCUUGCUGCAUGGUGGGGGUUGGAAAGCUUCGGCGGUUUUGGAUGGACUCGCGGCUUAUCAGCUUGUUGGUGGGGUAGUGGCUUACCAAGGCUUUGACGGGUAGCCGGCCUGAGAGGGCGACCGGCCACAUUGGGACUGAGAUACGGCCCAGACUCCUACGGGAGGCAGCAGUGGGGAAUAUUGCACAAUGGGCGGAAGCCUGAUGCAGCAACGCCGCGUGCGGGAUGACGGCCUUCGGGUUGUAAACUGCUUUCAGCAGGGGCGAAGCUUUUGUGACGGUACCUGCAGAAGAAGCACCGGCUAACUACGUG